rnacentral:misc_RNA from 1 species
AAGUCGUAACAAGGUUUCCGUAGGUGAACCUGCGGAAGGAUCAUUACUAUAAGGCAUGAAUUUUUAGUUAGAGUGCUUCUCGGCUAUAAUUCAAACCUUUACUCUACCUUGAUUUUUUGCGUAUUCUGUUUCCUUGGUAGGCUUGCCUGCCAAUUGGACAAAAUCAUAACCCUUUUAAUAUUUAAUCAGCGUCUGAAUAAUUUUAAUAAUUACAACUUUCAACAACGGAUCUCUUGGUUCUG